AGAUAAUAGAUACCCAGGUAGUCCUGGCAGUAAACGGUGCGCGUUUGGUGUGGGAGGAUUCGACCCCUUCUGUGCCGGAGCUAAACGCGUUAAACGCGCCGCCUGGGGAGUACGGUCGCAAGAUUAAAACUCAAAGAAAUUGACGGGGGCCCGCACAAGCGGUGGAGUAUGUGGCUUAAUUCGAUGCAACGCGAAGAACCUUACCUAGCCUUGACAUGCAUCUCUAAGUCGGUGAAAGCCGGCGACCAUAGCAAUAUGGAAUUUGCACAGGUGCUGCAUGGCUGUCGUCAGCUCGUGUCGUGAGAUGUUGGGUUUAAGUCCCGCAACGAGCGCAACCCCUGUGAACUGUUGCCACCACACUACGGUGUGAGCACUCUGUUCAGACUGCCCUGUGAAACGGGGAGGAAGGUGGGGAGUGACGUCAAGUCAGCAUGGCCUUACGGCUAGGGCUGCACACGUACUACAAUGCUCAGUACAGAACGAACCGAAACCGCGAGGUGGAGGAAAU
rnacentral:rRNA from 1 species